ACCGUGAGGGAAUGGUGAAAAGUACCCCGGGAGGGGAGUGAAAUAGUACCUGAAACCGUGUGCCUGUAAGCCGUCAGAGCCUUGUGGGGUGAUGGCGUGCCUUUUGAAGAAUGAGCCUGCGAGUUAGUGAUACGUGGCGUGCUUAACCCGUGUGGGGUAUGCGUAGCGAAAGCGAGUCUGAAAUAUGGCGUUUGUCGCGUGUUCUAGACCCGAAGCGGGGUGAUCUACCCAUGGUCAGGUUGAAGCAGAGGUAAGACUGUGUGGAGGACCGAACCCACCAGGGUUGAAAACCUGGGGGAUGAACUGUGGGUAGGGGUGAAAGGCCAAUCAAACUCCGUGAUAGCUGGUUCUCCCCGAAAUGCAUUUAGGUGCAGCGUUGCGUGGUCCCUGGUGGAGGUAGAGCUACUGGAUGGCCGAUGGGCCCUGUGGGUUACUGACGUCAGCCAAACUCCGAAUGCCAUUAGGUGUAGCGUGGCAGUGAGACUGCGGGGGAUAAGCUUCGUAGUCGAGAGGGAAACAGCCCAGAUCAUCAGCUAAGGCCCCUAAGCGUGCGCUAAGUGGGAAAGGAUGUGGAGUCGCGGUGACAACCAGGAGGUUGGCUUAGAAGCAGCCAUCCUUGAAAGAGUGCGUAAUAGCUCACUGGUCAAGUGGUUCUGCGCCGACAAUGUAGCGGGGCUCAAGCGUACCGCCGAAGCUGUGGCAACAACACAUGAUGCUGGCGCCAGGAACUGGAGUGCUGGUGUGUUGUUGGGUAGGGGAGCGUCCUGCACGAGGUGAAGCCUGGAGGGAACUUCUGGUGGAUUGUGUGGGAGUGAGAAUGCAGGCAUGAGUAACGAAUCUGCGGUGAGAAUCCGCAGCGCCGAUUGACUAAGGGUUCCAGGGCUAGGUUUAUCCGCCCUGGGUUAGUCGGGUCCUAAGGCGAGGCCGACAGGCGUAGUCGAUGGACAACCAGUUGAUAUUCUGGUACCGCGUUAUGACCGCCCAUGCUGAAGUCAUUGUGCUAACCAAUUUGCCCGCCGUGCGUUGGUCCUUCGGGACCGUCGUUCCGUGUGGGUCUUGGGGUCCCGGUGAUUGUAGGCAAGCGUGUUAACAGGGGUGACGCAGACAGGUAGCUGCAGUGCGCCGAUGGUUGUGCGUAUUUAAGGUUGUGGCCCGUCUCCCAGGCAAAUCCGGGGGACAUUGUGGGUGAGAACUGAUGAGGGACACACGCGUGUGUGGACUUGUGGUGAUCCUAAGCUGCCGAGAAAAGCCUCGACGUGAGGGCAUAACGCGCCCGUACCCUAAACCGACUCAGGUGGUCAGGUAGAGUAUACCGAGGCGUUCGAGUGAAUCGUGGUUAAGGAACUCGGCAAAAUUCCUCCGUAACUUCGGGAUAAGGAGGACCCCGUGACUUCCCAGUGCCUCGCGCGCUGGUGGGGUUGUGGGGUCGCAGAGAAUAGGGAGAAGCGACUGUUUAUCAAAAACACAGGUGCGUGCGAAGCCGUAAGGCGAUGUAUACGCACUGACGCCUGCCCGGUGCUGGAAGGUUAAGAGGAACCGUCAACACCCCCCGCGGGUGUGAAGCGGUGAAUUUAAGCCCCAGUAAACGGCGGUGGUAACUAUAACCAUCCUAAGGUAGCGAAAUUCCUUGUCGGGUAAGUUCCGACCUGCACGAAUGGCGUAACGACUUCUCCGCUGUCUCAACCGCGAACUCGGUGAAAUUGCAGUACGAGUAAAGAUGCUCGUUUCGCGCAGAAGGACGGAAAGACCCCGGGACCUUUACUAUAGCUUGGUAUUGGUGUUCGCUUGGACUUGUGUAGGAUAGGUGGGAGACUGUGAAGCUGCCGCGCCAGCGGUGGUGGAGUCGUCGUUGAAAUACCAUUCUGGUUCAAGCGGUCACCUCAACCUUGGCCCGUGAUCCGGGUUGGGGACAGUGCCUGGUGGGUAGUUUAACUGGGGCGGUUGCCUCCUAAAAUGUAACGGAGGCGCUCAAAGGUUCCCUCAGCCUGGUUGGUAAUCAGGUGGCGAGUGCAAGUGUACAAGGGAGCUUGACUGUGAGACCGACGGGUCGAGCAGGUGCGAAAGCAGGAACUAGUGAUCCGGCCAUGGCACGUGGGUGCGUGGUCGCUCAACGGAUAAAAGGUACCCCGGGGAUAACAGGCUGAUCUUGCCCAAGAGUCCAUAUCGACGGCAUGGUUUGGCACCUCGAUGUCGGCUCGUCGCAUCCUGGGGCUGGAG
rnacentral:rRNA from 1 species